rnacentral:rRNA from 1 species
CCAGAGAACUUAGCAGAGAUGCUUUGGUGCCUUCGGGAACUCUGAGACAGGUGCUGCAUGGCUGUCGUCAGCUCGUGUUGUGAAAUGUUGGGUUAAGUCCCGCAACGAGCCGCAACCCUUAUCCUUUGUUGCCAGCGGCUCGGCCGGGAACUCAAAGGAGACUGCCGGUGAUAAACCGGAGGAAGGUGGGGAUGACGUCAAGUCAUCAUGGCCCUUACGGCCAGGGCUACACACGUGCUACAAUGGCGCAUACAAAGAGAAGCGACCUCGCGAGAGCAAGCGGACCUCAUAAAGUGCGUCGUAGUCCGGAUUGGAGUCUGCAACUCGACUCCAUGAAGUCGGAAUCGCUAGUAAUCGUAGAUCAGAAUGCUACGGUGAAUACGUUCCCGGGCCUUGUACACACCGCCCGUCACACCAUGGGAGUGGGUUGCAAAAGAAGUAGGUAGCUUAACCUUCGGGAGGGCGCUUACCACUUUGUGAUUCAUGACUGGGGUGAAGUCGUAACAAGGUAGGCGUAGCGAG